AUGCCUGUGCCCAGGUGGGGAAUCUGGAGCCAGUAAGACCGUUCGUGCAUAAAUGUAAUCCUCGGCCGCAGAAUAAACCAGCUCGGAGACUGCAGCUGGGUUCAUCAAGGUUUGCGCAGUGGAUCCGCAAAUGAAGCCAGCCUGGAAGAUCCCCAGUCUCGAGACAGAGCCUGACAGGGGCAGAUGCUCUGGAAGGACCCUGUCUGGGUUCAGCAACCAAGCAGGCAUCCUGGCCCCACAGGUGUGGGACUUCUGGGUCUUCUCCUGGCUGGCUUCUUGCUAGAGGAUUUCAAGAGACCCAGCAAGACUGUGUUGUCCCACUGAAUGCUCAAGAUACUGGUUAGAAGUAGAAAAGGGGAGUGGGUAGUAUUUAGCCUCUGUC
rnacentral:antisense_RNA from 1 species